rnacentral:misc_RNA from 1 species
UCUCCGUUGGUGAACCAGCGGAGGGAUCAUUACAGGACUCGAAAGACUCCUACACCCCUGUGAACUUAACUAUAAGCACGUUGCUUCGGCGGGUGUCUCGGAGGGGGUUCUCCCUCCCCGAGACGCUAAACCCGCCGGCAGCCUACUAUACUCUGUCUCUUUGCGUUGGCAUCUCGAGUACAAUCAAACAAGUUAAAACUUUCAACAACGGAUCUCUUGGUUCUG